rnacentral:rRNA from 1 species
UAGGGAAUCUUCCGCAAUGGACGCAAGUCUGACGGAGCAACGCCGCGUGAGUGAAGAAGGAUUUCGGUUCGUAAAGCUCUGUUGUUAAGGAAGAACGAGUGUGAGAAUGGAAAGUUCAUACUGUGACGGUACUUAACCAGAAAGGGACGGCUAACUACGUGCCAGCAGCCGCGGUAAUACGUAGGUCCCGAGCGUUGUCCGGAUUUAUUGGGCGUAAAGCGAGCGCAGGCGGUUAGAUAAGUCUGAAGUUAAAGGCAGUGGCUCAACCAUUGUAGGCUUUGGAAACUGUUUAACUUGAGUGCAGAAGGGGAGAGUGGAAUUCCAUGUGUAGCGGUGAAAUGCGUAGAUAUUAGGAGGAAUACCGGUGGCGAAGGCGACUUUCUGGCCAUAAUCUGACGCUGAGGUACGAAAGCGUGGGUAGCAAACAGG